CCUAGGAUCUAUACCCGAUCCUAGCCUCUCAGAGCUGUCGCUGUGAUUCCUCUCAGGGCCUCCUAAGGCUUGGGAGCACCACACAUUUACAAUAAUCUCCAUCUUGGUGUCCUAAGCCUUGGCAAACCCUACACAAUCUACCUGCACGACCCUCUAGCCUUCUUUGUCUCUUGGCACCCACCAGUGUCCUGUUGUCCUCCAGCACUUCAUGCUUAUGUAUCUGAUGCAUCUGCAUCCACUACCGUCAAAGUGGAUCUCCUGUACACCAUGCCCUAUGUAUCAACCCUGCACCCUGCGUACCUCCACCACUAAGGAACUCGAAGCCUGCAUCCUCCAAAAUAUCCUCCUCGAUCUCGAUACUCCACAGCCUCCACCUGGAUCUCAAACUCCCAUAAUUAUCUAUAGUUCAGAUGUGCCUCCAUCCCAUAGCUGCCUGUAUCCGAUUGUGUCUCCUACCGUGGCUCUGCAACUGUCUGUCUCCCCAGCUAUGCCUAUGCCAUGGUCCACAACUGCCUAUCUCCACAGUCAUGCUUGCGCUGCAGCUCUAUAGUCGCUUCUCACCAAUCAUGCCUGUGCUGUAGCCCUAUGCCACCACCUAUAUCUCAGCUGC
rnacentral:lncRNA from 1 species